rnacentral:rRNA from 2 species
UUUCCCUCAGGAUAGCUGGCACUCGCUUGAGCGAGUCUCAUCUGGUAAAGCGAAUGAUUAGAGGCCUUGGGGCCGAAACGACCUCAACCUAUUCUCAAACUUUAAAUGGGUGAGAUCUCUGGCUUGCUUGAACGUUGAAGCCACGAGAUUAUUGCAUUAUGGAUCAGAGUGCCAAGUGGGCCAAUUUUGGUAAGCAGAACUGGCGCUGUGGGA